AUUAUAUCUCUACCUUACGAUUUUACCAAUAAAACACAGUCGUACAAAGUGGAACCCUCCAGAUAAGUCAGAGGGUUACCAAUAGCAAAGGGAUUAAUAAUGGUUGUACUCUGCUUUAGCCACAGAUUGAUCGCAGUACAAGACUUCGCAAAACAAGGGAGUACAAAUCUUUUCUGGUGAAUUCUUGUGUAGUACAUCACAAAAGGCGUACAGCAACACGAUUUCCAUAAUCUAUUUAAACCUAAGAAAUGAACACAAACUCAAAAACAAAGUCAAGGAUCCUGGCCAAUUUCUAAGGAUCAAAGAGGAAGACAAACUUGCUGAUGACAAGCUAUAAAGGGUUUGGUCUACCUUUGUGUCAGUCAUGAAGUGGAGCUGAAUGAAGCAAUUGCGUCCAUUUCUUGGCGUAAGAGAAGGGCAUCAAUGAACAUGUCCAGGUUCUCUCCCUGCAUCAUAUCUUCAAUGGCAUGGUGAGUGAUUCCCACACGGUGAUCCGUCACUCGCCCUUGUGGAAAAUUGUAUGUACGAAUCCUUCCAGAUCGAUCUCCACUGCCAAUCUAUCAAUGAGAUUACGCAUCUAUCAGCUGAUGUACGGUUGACUGAAAACAUAAUAAAAAGAUUGUUUAUUUCACA